rnacentral:misc_RNA from 1 species
UCUCAUCAAUUCCUUUCUCGAUUAAUUAGAAAUUGGGAACCCAUUCAAUCUUCAAUCUUUUCUAUUGUCUUGAUUCGAUUUUCACAGAGCAAAAAUUCAUUCAGCUUCUUCAAUCAAUCGCUUGAAAGAAUACAAAUAAAAUCAAGUAAGAAUGGAUAUGGACGAAGAGGAUUUCGUGUUCUUUGGUACUCCGAUAGAGCGUGAGGAAGAGCUUACUAGCCGCG